rnacentral:rRNA from 1 species
UGGUGGAGUGAUCUGUCUGGUUAAUUCCGAUAACGAACGAGACCUCAGCCUACUAAAUAGUUGUGUAAAUUCAUUUGAAUUUAUAUCAACUUCUUAGAGGGACCAUCGGUGUUCAGCCGAAGGAAGUGUGAGGCAAUAACA